GAGACAAUUUGUUUCUAAUAAUCGCAUAGGUAUAACUACAGUACGGCCCAAGCAACGAGCAGACUAGGGGUUCACGGUCCCCACGUGCUGCUGGGGGGACCCGUCCGCGGGCAUCGCGGCGGACGUGACACCGCAUUUUCUCUGAAUUUCUGCCAUCUAGGAUGGUGCAACCAAGGGAGGGGGUCAUGGAUGGGGAGGUGGAGUGCGAGGCUGCGGAAUUCGCUCUCUGCAGAGGAACUGGAGCUUGGAACAGCGCGAAACUCUGAAGGCGUUCACAAUUCAAGAGAAAAGCAACGCCCGGUUGUGGGUGGUUAAUAGCCGGCUUCCCACGACCACGAGGCAUGUCCCUGGCGGCACCACUACCUUAUAUUUUAAUUUGAUCUUUAUUGGGUCUUCGCUCCCCUAGGCUGUGGACUGGACUUGCACUCCGAUGGUCACUGCCCUCUCGGGAGAGGGUGGACCUUCAACUGCGGCUCCCUUUUCCCCGAGGGAGUCAGCUAGAGUUUCUCUCCUUCUAGACCUGAGAGUUACCGGGCAUCCCCGGGCGUGGUCCAGUCGUGCGUGGCGGGGGGAGGGGGGCUUUCUAGCCUUUGAGCUGAGCCACGUCUGCAAUGCAUCGCCUUAAGCUGCUCUCCGUACCCUAAGCCGGUGCUCAAAAGGAGAGGCAGGGAGGGGAGCGGUCACUCUUAACUAUGAAGUGACGGUGGUCUACCCAGAGUGUCAGUGCCUCUGUGUGUGUGGUGUGUGUGUGUGUGUGUGUGUGUGUGUGUGUGUGUGUGUGUGUGUGUGUGUGCGCGCGCGCGCGCGCACGCUGCAGCCGAGAAGGGAGGGUUCUACUGCCAAGGGCAGGGAGGAGGACAGUGAAGGCCGGCUGGUAGAGUGAGAAAGCCUUCCCAGGUUCAGCUGCGGUGAUCACCCAGCACUGCAGCUAAAGGGGCUGAUUGCACCCUGCGUGCUCCCCCGCCUUCCCUGUGUUCCCCGGCUUUUCCAGGAUGGAAGAUGGGGUGCCCAUAGCGGGUGGGGCGCGCCGGGCUGCCCAGCCGGGCGGUCACGUGUCCCCCUUCCCCCGCUACUGCAGCGGGAGUUCCAAUCAGAGCGCGCCAGGGGGCUCCUCCCGGGCAGGAACCACCCGGCUCAGCGGCGCGGGGUGGGCCGCCGUCACCUGACCGCCCGCCCCCGCCCCCCGCGAGUAAGGGGCGGUGGUAGCGUCUGCUCGGUUACAAAUGGCCCCUCCCGCCCCGCUCGCCCGCUCGCUCGAGCUCGGCGCGGACCCGCCCGGGACCGCUCCUCGCAGCAGAUGCCUUGGUACCCACCCGGUCACCGGCGAUCCGGCCACCUCAGAGGCACGCUCAGACACCCAGAGGUCCGGCCACCUCAGUGGGUGCACUGGGCACCCUAUGAUACGACCACACUGCGAGGCGCGCUAGCCACUCGGGUAGGCGUGCUAGGUUUCUCUGCGGCGGAAGUGUGGACCACAGAGUGUGACUCCCCUUCUAGCAGUAGGUGUUCUGACUCGUCCAGCUGCUGCCCUUCUGCCCGAGAGUAGUUCAAACUGAAGGGAAGAAAACAUAUGUGCAUGGUCUGCCAUCUUGAACCAGAAGUCUGAAAAAGGGUUGUGAAUGUUGCACACAAGGAUCUCAGAGUGAGGGUGACAGACCCCGAGAGCAUCUGCACCAUAAACAUUUCCACAAGAAAUGUGAGUUCCUCAUAAGCACAAGUCAGACCCAGACCGGAAGGAUGGGUUGUGUUGGGGUACAGUGAGGACUGAGCAGAGGCUGGGUGGGGGGCUGUGUUUGUACUGGCGUCCACAGUCCCACAUGCUUAGCUGCCACUGUGCACAUGGAACUAUUAGCAAAUGAAAUUAAAUACUUCAGUUGCCUAGUAACUAAUCCAGUCUAAGAAAGAAGCAAAAAUAGAAUACAUAAAUUUAGAACUUUUAGGCCACAUGCCAAGCAAAAUAUUCUUGCUUGUAUCCUUUUGAUUAUCUGCAACUUGAAUGGAAGAAAGUAUAUUUUAGUGUCCAGGAGUGUGUGUGUGUGUGUGUGUGUGUGUGUGUGUGUGUGUAUUCCUUGCUAAAAGUGAAUUCUCCUCAGUGGUUGAACAUGCGUAAGACAUGGUCUGGCUUCUAGGGCAGAUGCCACACUGGCCCUCAGAAGCCCAAAUAGAAGAUACUAAUAACUCUGGAAUUUGUUUUUCUGACAUAAUUAAAAAACCAAAGGCAUUAUAUGAUUCCAGCCCUGUUAUAUUAUGGGAAGAAAAGCAGAAAUCAUCUGUUUUACUUAAUGUCAUAUAAAAUAAAAAUGUCAUUUCUCUUCCCAAGCAGUUUUUCUAACAAUACCCCAAAAGUUAGGAAACAGUUUAAGUUUUUAUGUGACACAGAGAGCAAUCACUGGGGUCACAUGAUACUGGCAUUUACAGAAAUACCACAAUACACAAAUAGGUAUUGUAGUAAUGUUGGUUAUUUCCCAUGUGGCUUUUGCUUCCUUGGAGAGAAGCAUGUGGUUAUGGCUGGCAUGUUUCAGAACUGAAGGAAAACAAGAGUGUAGGAAAGACUGCUCAGUGGUCAAGAGUACUGGCUGCUCUCCCAGAUUACCCAGGUUCAGUUUCCAGCAUCCACAUGGUGUCUUGCAUCCAUCUGUAACUCCAAUUCCAGGGGAUCCAGUGCCAUCACAAAGACAAAUAAAUAUAAAAUAAAAAUAAAUACAUCUCAAAAAAUUGUAAACUCUUCGGGAGUUCAUACAUCUUUUAGGAUUUCAGCAUCUGUUUACUGAGAACACAAAGUACGCACAGUUAGGAAAGUGUGAUAAUGAGGUAGGGUAGUCUCAGCUCAGCUGUUGGCUGUAUUGUGUUGGCUGAGCUGGUACAGUGUCAUGGUCUACCUUCUGAUUCUCCUCCUUACCCCAAUGAUGUGCUUUACAGAAAUAUCUCUCUCUCUCCCUUCCUCUGUUCCUCCGUUUCUCCAUCCCUCUUUUGAUUUUUCGAGACAAGGUUUCUCUGUGUAGCCCUGGCUGUCCUGGAACUCACUCUGUAGACCAGGCUGGCCCUGUACUCAUGCAGAUCCACCUGCCUCUGCCUCCCAAGUAAGUACUGGGACUAAAGGUGUGCACCACCAUCACCUGGCCAUCUCCUUUUCUCUGAACCCAGGCAGUAGCACAGACUGCAUUUGCCCAGAAGGUCUCUGACUGGGUGUGACCUGAAGCCUUUUUCCUCCUUCACACCUCUCUUCUGGUGCUGAGGAGGGAAUCCUAGGCCUCCAGCUUGAUGGCCCAGGCUCUGCUGCUGAGCCCCAAGCUCCUACCCCUACAUUGGCAUUUUUGUUGUAAGAACUGAGAAUGUGCCUCUAAUUGGAUUCUUCUGCUCUUUCCCCAUGGUUAAAUAGAAGACACACUUUUCUUUUUUUACAUUUUUUAAAGAUUUAUUUAUUUUUAAGUGUGUGUGUGUGUGUGUGUGUGUGUGUGUGUGUGUGUGUGUGUGUGUGUAUACCUGCAUGUAUAUAUGUGCACUUUGUGUGUGCCAAGUGCCCAAGGAGGCCAGAAGAGCGCUUCAUAUCCCCUGGAAGUGGAGCUACCAGAAGUUGUGAGCCUGGUUCAUGUGGUUCUGGGAACUGAAGCUGUAUCCUCUGGAAGAGCAGAGUUGCUCUUAACCUCUGAGCCAUUGUUAGUCCCAUGGAUGCAAGGAGAAAUACCACUGACCCAAAUCACCAUGGCCAAAUUAAUUAAAGCAAGCUUUAUUAUUCAUGUGCAUAGGCUCUCUCUCCUUAAAGGUGGGGUUCAAGAGAUCAACAUUGGACAUGGGAAAGAUAAGGGUUUUUAGUUUAGGAGUAGGGGGCCCUUCAGACAAGAUCGGGCACGUUCAGGGUGGAAUGGCUAUAGAUAAGUAGGGAAUUUCUAAAUGGGAGAUUUGGCAGGCAAAUAGGUAAGGUUAUAAAAGCAGAACAUAUGCAUAAUAAAUUGGUCAUAACAACCCCUGAAACAAUGACAUGGUUGCAAGGUGGUCUUAACAACUUUAAAACAAAGACAUGGUUACAUUCCUGGACCAGGCAGUACAGAGCCAUUUGUAGUUAAGGUGACAGGUGGGGCAGAGCCCAAUCCUUGAGAAACAGACUUAAUCAUAAAUAUGAAUGAACCUAGUUGGUCUUUAUUAUAAGAUGGCUUUAUCUAAGAUGGAGACAGGCUGGUUUUUCAACUUCUCUCCAGCUGCAGAAGGCACAUUUUUAAUCAUGUUGUGCCGUGUUCCUAUCUAAGCCCUUUAUGUGAUCAUCACAUUCAAAACGGGUAGCAAAGAUGAGUCCUGUCACUAACGUAUAUCUAAGCUAGGCAUGGCUCUCAGUUCUGAGUGCCCAACCAUCCUGCUAGCCUAGGACCCUGUGCUCAGGCUCUGGUCUCAGCUCUCAUGUGUUACCACUCAGCCUGCAGCAGACAUCCCCUGACAAGCAUGCAGGGACUUGCUCCAACAUAGAAAAGCAGUCAGUUGGCUGAGCAUGAAGCCAGUUUUGUUUUGUUUUUUUUUCACUCCCAUGUGGAGCUGUAGAGCUUGGAAAAGAAGCAGUCGCUUCCGUUUGCAAAUGAAUCCGACCUUCUGUCCAUAAGUUUAGUUUUCAUAAGAAUCUUAACCAUUUACAGAAAGGUUGGCUGGUCAGUUGAAGAGCUAAGAAUUUCGAGUAAAGUAAGGCCAAAAAAUUAGUAAAUAACAGUUGAAAGAGAAGUCCAUGGGUGCUGUGUUCCAGCUCAGUGGAAGAGAGCUUACCUAGCAUGGGUGAAACACUGGAGGAGGGGGAUGGAGAUUUACAUUCAAGCCAGGGAAAUAAAUAUAUAACCUGCCAGUCUUCAAUUGAAUACACCUGGUUCCACUAUACACCUUGAUUUUCAGCGAUAGGUUAGGAAAGGGUUUUGUGGAUGCUGUGUGUGUGCACACACACAAAUUUAUGUUUACACAUAGUUGGAUUUGAAAGAAGUGCUUAAAGAACCCCCUUGCCCUUAGAACGGGAAUUUUUAAUAUCUGAGCCUUCUAAGCCAUGAAUUGUCACUGACCCUGGGUCAUUCUCACCCACAGACACCAGCACAUGUAUGUGGUGAGUUCCAGACAGCAUUAAGAGACCCUUCUGUCCUCUCGGUUCAAGCAUGCUUUGCUUGGCAUCCAAUUUCAUUCUUUUCUCCUGCUGUUCCCCUACCCAACCAUGUUUCUGCAGUAACUACCAGUCUUAAAAGAACAGGCUGGAAACAGCACAGUCAACAGGCUGUGACGCCCAGUUCACAGUGCAACAAAGAUAAACAACAACAAUAAUAGACUUUUUACCUUUGACAUAGAGUAGAUUCUUACCUGCUCUGUAUCAGCUUCCAUGAAUUCUCUUUGCCUCCCUUACUUCUGUGCAAAUACCAAAAGUACAGAGGGCAGCUCUGAGGAACAGUGAUGCACCUUCCCGUUAUCAUUCACUCCUUCAUCCAUUCAGCAAGCUGAUUCAGCAUCUGCUACAUGCUAGACGCUGAGCUUAGUAUUCGAGCUCCAGAGCUGAGCAAGUCAAAGAAACCCCCAUCCCUGUGGAUCCUCUGUUCCUGUGGAGAGAUAUGAUGUGCCUAGUGCAGAAAUACAAGAGAUGGGCAUAAAUGCUAUAAUAAGAAUCAUGCGCUGGCAUGAAAGUCCACAAGCAGCAGCAGGAUCUUCUGCAGGCUCGGGUCUGGUCUCCGCUUGAUAGUCUGCCUGUGGGGUUUGAGCCGGCACAUCUCUGUUCAGGCCUCCUGUCUGCUCCCUCUUUUCCCUUGACUGGAUUUGAGGUUAGUUUGCAGACAGCAGUCAACAUGGUCCAGGAGUUCUUUGCAGACAGCCUGUGGAGGCAUCAAGCUUUCUGAUAGCUAGCUCUCAAAGGCAAGGCAGAGUGGCCAUCUUGGAUUGAGCCUGGGUCAGGGGUCUGAAUAUAUCCAUUUAAUAAUCUGUUCAAGAAGUUCAUAGAGCAUAUUUAUUUAACCUAAUUCUUACAUCAGAACUAUGGUCAGCUUGAUACAAAUAUAAACAUACCCGGGAAGAGAGAAUUAUAAUUGGGGAAAUGGCCUUCUGUAAGAUUGGCCUGUCUGCAAGUGUGUGGGGUAUUGUCUUGAUUAACGAUUGACAUGCAAGGGUCCAGCUCUCUGGGGUGGUGCCACUCCUGGGGGCAAGGCAGUAAGUGGAGUCCCUCUGUGGCUUCUGCUUCAGUUUCUGCCUCCAGGGUCCUCCCUUGAGUUCAUGCCCUAACUUUCCUCGGGGUAGAGUGAGACCUGAGAUAAACCCUCCCCAAGGUGCUUUUGGUCAUUGUAUUUUAUCCAGCAACAGAAACCUAACUGAGACAACAGUGCUUAGAUUAGAAUAGAUGUUCCUGCUGUCUAGACAUUGUGUGGCUGGUCAGUGUUAGUCAGUCUUCACUGCUCUCAUCCAUCUGCCCCAAUUCCAAGCCAUGCAAGACUCUCCUCUGUUAUUUAUUCCUCAAAUUCAGAAGGUAAAGGACUGCAGUUAUUGCUUCUAACAGCAAAGUUGUUACUUCUUCACAUCCUGAUGGCCACUCUUCGUUGUCAAUUUGGCUGGUUUAGAGUUGCCUGAGAUCUGCACUGAGUGUCUGUCUGUUGGGAUGUUUCCAGAGAGAUUGACUGAGGAGGGAAGGACCACCUGGAGGUGAGGAGUGCUGUCCUUCAGGGGUCCCCGAUAAAUAAAAAGGGAAAAAAGAGAAAGCUCACUGUGACCAGACACAUAAGGAUCCUGCUGCCCUGCCAUCCCCAGGGCACUGAAUGAACCAUCAAAUCACAAGCCAAGUAAGCCCUCCCUUCCUUAAAUUGCUCUUGUCAGAAAUUUUGUCACAGCAAUAAAAAAAACUAAUUAUGUCUUUUUAAAAUCACCUAGGUAGCAUGGAUUUGGUACCAAAGGAGGGGACAGCUGUACCCAUCGAGGUUUAAUUAGAAACAUCUUAAGUCAUUGAAAUGGAUUCUUUUAGCACCAACCUGGGAUGCUUGAAUUAUGAAUUUAGCUGUGAGCCAUUUUAUAUCCAGGGUCUCCAAAGCAGAUAUGCUUUCACCACAACUUGAUCUAAGGCACUCACCCGGCAGAAGGAGCCAAUAGAACCACCAUAUCCAGCCAGGUUCCGGGGCCUCCAAAACUGGCUUCUGCACAGGCUUGCACAGUCUGAAGUAGACCCCACCAGUCCUUCCCACACAAAGCUCAUAAUUCCCUGUAACCUUUUCCCUGUCACAAGAACUAGGGUUUCCCAUGACAUAUGGUUGGCCCACCUGAAAGGAUUAAAAAAAGGAAAGCAAAGUGGGUACCUUCGGUGGACCCUGCCAAGUGUGCCGCUGAGCAAACAGGUGUGUGCCAAGGCAUGCCACAUCACAACAGAGUUAGCACAAGAGGUUUUUUGGGGAAGGGGGAGGAGGGAGGGGGAAGUGAAAAGCCAUGUCAGAGUGGGGACAUGAGAGAGGCGGGCAGACAGACAGAGAGACAAGAGAAGCAAGAGAGGUAAGAAAGGAGCAGGAGCAACAGAGUGAGCUGUGCCUGGCGGGCACUUAGGGAAGUGUCCUCAUCCAGAGAGGACAGACCAAACGAACAUAAAAGAUCUUCCCUGUGAGAGAGGAACCCUGUUUGUUUUUACAUGUGAAAGUAAUUUGAAACACAAGUUGACACUGUGUUGCAGAUGUCACAUGGACACUGAGUCCUGACUGUCACCAUUCAGCAUGGCUUGUAGCCUCCUCUGCGAGACACAUCCCGCACCCCCGCCCCAGCACACAGCCCAUGGGAGCUGCAGUUAGAUGGCCACAAUGUGGUCCCCUGGGAAAUGCCACUUAUCACACCGUAUUAAAAGCAGUAUGUCGAGGCUCAUUGUUUUGUGUUUUUAAUCUCAGACACCAGUGCAGAAGCCCAAGAUGUUUAUUAUAAUUUUGCCGACACCACCAACAAAAGCUUUACUUGUGAAGGAAAAAUUAAAUGUUGAGGCUGUGUGGAUGAUAGGGGAGGGUGAGCCACGGAAGGCUGGGAAGGAUAGAGAGGGGAAGUGUCAUUUCCUUUAGGAAAGAAAAAUAGGGGUGAGCCAUAAACAUAGCUUCAUUUUCAGGCUGGCAAUUCUUACAGUAAUGUGUUUUGUCAGGCAAGUCCUCAAUGCAGAUUAACAUGAAAUACCGAGUGAGUUCCACCUCUCGGCCCGGAGUGUCUGUGAACAAUGAAGAGUGUUUUGAUGAAUGUCAAUUAAUGACACUCACACUCUUGAAUUCAGCCCUGGCAGCCAGGACUGACGGCUGGGGGAAGGGCAUGCAGUGCAAAGUCCAAAGAUGGGCUAGAAACAAAAUCAAGAUGCCAAGGUGGGUGACCUUCCAGGGUAAUCAGACCCAAAGCAUAAAACACAAUUUCCAGCAGGCCAUGCCCCCGCAGGAGGUACCAGUGCAUGUAAAGCCUCUGUGAUGGGUCUAAUCUCAGUGGAAGGGGAAGAGCAGACCCUGGUGCGCCAGGACCUUAGCAGUUAUGACUCAAUAGUUACACUUUUGACUCCAUCCAGACACAAACCAGACCUGGAAGCCUCCACCUGCUGCACUCUCAUACCACACGCUGCCUUUGUGGUUUUUGCAUUCAGAAUGUCCAGACCCUGAUAAUCCUGGGAACUCAAUAAAAGCUGAAGCUGGAGCAGACCUCUGCCCCUCCUUCCCAGUGACUGGCAGGUGGGAUGCACUCACUCCUCAGAUCCUGCUCUUCAGCUUCACUGGGAGGACUUGGUGUUCGAUUAUUCUCUUACUGUUUGGAGAAGAACUGUCACUGGGAAUCGCUGACUGAUUUUCUCAUGGCGUAGCUGACAGUUAAUGCCUGGGUCUGUUAAUCCUCAGGAGAAAGCCUGACAGGCUACCUGGGUGUCCUGCUCACCACAGUGGCAGUGUCCAUGCUCCUGGCUUAACUUCGAUGCUUACGUGCUCUUUGCUGAUUUGUUUUUUGAAUAACACAUUCUGUAGUAUCGAGUCCAGCUUCCUAGACAUUGAAUCAGAAAGGAAUUCUCACAGGAAAUCAUAGACCAGGUGGAAAAUUCUCUUUUUGUGACCAGAACAGAGGUCCCAAAGGUAAGAAGAAUAAACUAAGACGCUCUGGACUCCCCUGUUCUCUUUGGUGCCCUUUGAUGGUUCCUCUUCCCCCACAUCAUCUGGAGUGAUCUUCCCAGCAGCCCUCCAAAGGACACACUGUCCCCAUUCUACCCAAGAGGAGACAGAUGCAUGCAGCAGGGGAAAUACAGAGCUGAGAAGCAAGCUUAAGCAUCGCUGACCCAGAGUCCCAAUGUUCUCUCCAAAGCUUAUGUUUCAGAAAGAUUGUAACUACCAGACAGCAGGUACCUGUCAUCACAGCACAGGGACACAGAGGCAGAGGACAGGCAAAGACAGGGGGACCGUGAGUGUGAGACCAGCCUAGGAUAACAACAUUUUGUCAAAAAGUGGGGAGUUGGAUGAGAAGCUGGGGAGAUAGCUCGUUUGUUAAAAUGUUUCUCCACAGCAUAAAGACCGAAGAUUAAUUCCCAGAAGCCACAGGGGAAAACUGGGUAUGGUGACACCUGCCUAUAAUCCCAACACUGGGGAGGCAAAGGGCCGACUGACUCGCAAUCUUAACGAGCAAGCCCUAGGCACUAAUGAGAGACUCUUUCUCAAAACACAAGGAUAGUUCCUGAGGAGUGGCACCCAAAGGUGGCCUCUUGCCUCCAUAGGCAUAUACACAGGCACACACACACACACACACACACACACACACACACACACACAAAGUUUGUAACUAUAACUUAGGAAUUUAUUUAUCCUCAUUGCCAAAAACUGAAAAUAAAAAUAAGCUAACUACCAGCUGAGAAAGAUGUGCCUCUUGUUGUACUUGCACACCAAUACUGAACUUUAAAAAUUCUUAGUCUUGCACACUCUGGUCAAUAAUUAUUCUUAAAGUCUAAGAGGAUUUCCCAGAGCUGAGUCCACUGCGGAGGCCGCAUUGUGCAUUUAGUGUUAUGCAGGGAGGGGCUUACAGCAGGAGUGUCUGAGCCAGAGCCUGUCUACCCUCACACUCCUGUGAUGGGCACGCUGCUGCAGGCCGCCGUCUGGGAUCUCAAAGCCAGGCAGGCAUCCUGGCUGGCCUCCUAUCACAGGAAGCAUAUGCAGGUGGUGGGGAUGUCUUCAUUUUCUCACUCCCAAACUAGGGUUGAUGAUACCUCCUCACUAGAUGUCUUAGUUAGGGUUUGUUUGUUUGUUUUGAUUUUUUUUUGAGACAGGGUUUUAGUCCUGACUGUCCUGGAACUCACUUUAUAGACCAGGCUGGCCUCGAACUCAGAGAGAUCUGCCUGCCUCUGCCUCUUGAGUGCUGGGAUUAAAAGUGUACACCACCAUGCCUGGCCUUAGGGUUUCUAUUGGGUAGGAAAGAGUUUAUUCAGCUUACACUUACACAUUGCUGUUCAUCAUAAAGGAAGUCAGGACAGGAACUCAAACAGGGCUGAUGCAGAGACCGUGGAGGGGGCGCUGUUUACUGACUUGCUCAGCCUGCUUUCUUAUAGAACCCAGGACCACCAGCCCAGGAAAGGCACCACCCACAAUGGGCUGGGACUUCCCCCACCAAUCACUAAUUAAGAAAAUACCUCACAGGUAGAUCUUAGGAUGCAUUUUCUCUAUUGAGGUUCCCUCCUUUCAGAUAACUCUAGCUUGACAUAAAACUAGCCAGCACACUGGAUGACUACAGGGCUAGGAGUGGAGGUAUAUGUGAGCAGUGGAGCUUGGUGGUGUUUUUUAGAAUAUUCAAGCCAGGCUGAGUGUCUCCGUCCCUCCUCAGCAGCCCUGAACUAGGUUACUGCUGAUUUUUCUAGGUUGAGUCUCUGGUGUCUGGAGCAAGAAGGUGCUGUGGAAGUGAACAUUGUCUCUUAGGUCCCAGCCCGUGAAGACUAAUUCAGAAGAGCAGCUGGGUUGGGCCAGAGAACACUAGGGAAGAGCCUCAGACUCCUGGAUUCAGUCAGCAUGCUGAUGGCCUACCUCAGGCUUCUGGGUCUGGUGAAAGAACUGCUGAACCCUGCUUCAGGCUCCUUCCUCUCCAGUCCCUCUAGGGUCAGAAGGAUUCUUCAGCUUCGAAAUCAGGAUUUCACCUCUGGCAAGACACUAGAAUAGAAGCAAGUAUCUGUCAGGAUUUCAGUUCCUGAGAACUGUUACUACCGGCAGCAAUGUCAGAGGUCCCUGGAAAGACAGGACAAUUAGGGUCUGAGAGCCUUACCUCAGCCCUAAAAGGGGAGAAGGUAUCUGCCCCCUAGGCCACAGGGGUAUCUGAGUAGCUGAAGUAGGACUCCAGGAUCUACUUCCAGACUUUCUUGGCAUAGUGUAUAUGAAACGUUCUGGGAAUCUAUGUGGUGUAGUGGAUUUAUCAUAAGCAUGCUACAUGUCCACUUCCUUAGCCUGUCUCCACAGUAGGCUUGGAGGAUGUCUCUUACAAAGGUCCCUGGUAAUGUGUGACUGAGGAGAGCAACCACCUCAAAGCAGAGUGUGGGGUGGCUGGGCACCAGGUGAGGGGUCUGCCAUUGCGGGUAUCUUAGUCAGGGUUUCUAUUACUGUGACGAAACACUAUGACCAAAGAGCAAGUUAGGGAGGAAAGGGUUUAUUAGGCUUACACUUCAGCAUUGCUGUUCAUCACUGAAGGAAGUCAGGAUAGGAACUCAAAACAGCAGGAUCCCAGAAGCAGGAGCUAAUACAGAGACCAUAGAGGGGAACUGCUCAGUGGCUUGCUCAGCCCACCUUCUUAUAGAGCCCAGGCCCAGCAGCCCAGGGAUGGCACCACCCACCAUGGCCUGGGCCCUCCCCCAUUGAUCUCUAAAUGAGAAAAUGCCUUCCAGCUGGAUCUCAAAGAGACAUUUCCUCAGCUGAGGCUCCUUUCUCUGAUGACUCUAACUUGUGUCAAGUUGACCACAAAACCACCCAGUACAGAGGGGCUCUUUGAUUUCAAAAGGGAUGAUGGGUCACAGAGAAGCAGAGGCGAGAGACAAGCUCUCAGCUGCCAGCUACUGGGUAUGAGGUCGUUGUGGUGGCUAAUGGGCUCCAAAAAGUCUUCCCAAUGAUGGCAUCAUUGGUUGUCUAACACUGCCCAUUGCUUUUAUUCUGAGAGCCUUAAUCUGUGCACCCCCAAACUUGAGGCCAUCUUUCUGAUGCUGCCUCCUGAGCAUUGGGAUUUACAGGUGUCCCUCAGCACACCCAGCUGUCUUCCCAAGCUUUGAUAUUGGAAAAAAGCAUUUCCAAGAAUGUCAUGGAUCCUGUGAAAUAAUGGACCCCGUGCCUAGAGGCAUUACUUACGAGCCAGCUGAUGGGGUCUGAAUUGGUGACAGCUGUAUCCUCAGACCAGUUACAUAGUGUUUGAUUUUGAGACUCAAAGGCGUUGCCAGUCCCAUUUUAGCAAUGGGGAAACCGAGGCACAGGUGGAGCACUGACCAGCACAGGAUGUAGCAUUUCUAGGUAAUACAUCUUCUCUGGACUAUGGAGAUGUGUUUUGAUGUCCUCUGUGACAAAAAGGCUUUACUUUGAGCAAAGUCUCUGGGAUUGUUGUCUAAGUAGUCCUUAUUUAAUGAUAUCAAUAUUUAUACAAAGAUUCAUUUUCAAUAGGAUUACCAGGGAAGCCACGUGGCUCCCUUAAUGGUAUCUCACUUGUGCUUGUCACCUUCCUGUUCCUCCCAUGACUCUACUCAGGCCUAGAGUGCCUCUGUGUGCAGUAAGCUGCCUCCUGUUCCCAGAACUCAGAAGUGUGUGUGUGUGUGUGUGUGUGGUGUGUUCAUGUGUGUUGGAGACCAGAGAUCAUUAUCAGGUGUUAUUCCUCAGGAGCCAUCCAUCUUAUUUUUUGAAACAGGGUCUCUUCCUGAACCUGGAACUCACUGGUUGAGCUAGAGUUGCUGUUGAGAAAGUCCCAGGAACCUCUUGUCUUCCUCCCCUCAACAUCUGUAAUACAGCUGAGGGCCUUGCAUGAAGCACUUUCCUGACUGAGCCAUUUCCCCAGCCCCUUAAACACACUGUUGAGGUGAUGUAGAUAGCCCAGGGCUGCAGUGGUUCCCAGCUGCUGCUGCUACAGUAAUAUCCCAGUGACGUCUAAUCAAGGUCUGCAAGGCCAGUGGCGCCGUGCAGGGAGAUGUGAACUUGAGACUUGACCUUCGCUUUGGCUGAUGAUUUUCCUCAGUAGUGGCUGGCAGUGUGCCAGCACAUCUGAAGUGAUCCAGUGGCAUUGCUGACACCACUGGCGUGAGUCUAUGUUUCCACUGUCGUCCCAGCUCAGGGAUUCGGGUGUGAGAGGCAGGGACUCCCUCAUUCAUUCUCAGAAGCUGUUCCUGAGCACUGGUUGUGUCUAUUGGUAACUUAUUCUGUCCUAGAGUAGGAUUUUUCUUGCUGAUCUGUAAAUGUUCCAUCCAUUAAAGAUUUGUCUCCCUCUGUGACUAUAUUGAUGGCUGCACUUUUACAAAGAGAAUUUCCUAGGAGAAAUACUGGACAGAUUGCAAACCCGUCAUGACGAAAGUCUCGAGACCUUUCAAGAGAAGCCUCACAGGGCUCCACAGCUGAACUGUGGGAAGGAAGCAGGACUUUGGAGGAGAGAAAGUGGGUCUGAUGAAGACAGAUGCACCAGGCAGGCAGCUCAGGUCUUGAUGCUGAUUCCAACCCCCAACCCCACCCCAACUGAAACGUCUUGUCUUCCAUGAGAAAAACUGCUCCUUCCAGCUUCUUCUUUCUAUAUUCUAUCUGAAAAGGGAACAUUUGGUGCUGUGAAAAUGGAAUUGCCUAGAGCCCCCACAGGAAAGGACAACCACUCAUGUGCCCUGGGCUUGGAGCCUUCCAGAAGGUCUGGGACUCCCCUGGAAGUUCUGAUGGGACAGGCAGGGAAGGGAAGCUGUAGGUCCUUGUGGUCAGCAUGGUUACGAGGAAUUGUCUCAGCUCUGAACAGUUUUAUCUGUGGUCCAUGCCCGUCCCCCCUUUGUUGAUGUCUCCCUGGGCUGGUGAAGGGAUGUAUGCAGACAGCAGCUCUUUACCCAGGGAGCGGGUCCCAAUAUAGUGUGUCUCUCGGGGAUUCCAGGGUGGCGGGAGGUAGCUCCAGGGGAAGCAGCUUCUUGUGUUUGUAGAUGGAGGUGUUCAGGUACUGAAUUUCUAGAAAGCACGUUUCCCCUGCAUGUUUCUUGGUCCUUAAAACAGCAGCAAACGUGGUUCAGGGAGACAAGGAGCCCACAGCUCCUCAGGGAACCCUUCACCCCACAGUUCCUCGGUGCUGACAGAUUUCUGUGGGGCUUUCACUUCCUCUUGUUAUCCAGCCCUUAA